GGCGUCUGGGUGGUCCCUGAGACCCGCGCCUGUACUUAGGCUUAGCGUCCGGGCCACCUAUACCUAGCGCCUGUCCCUUAGGGGGUGGAAGGAAGGCCGAAACCUCCAAGCGGGUGUUGAUUCACUGUCGGUGUGUGUCGCGAGCUAGUCGCUCUUCUUUCCUACUGCGGUCUAAACUAUGUGCGCAGUAGGUCUCCCGUGUGUUCCCUGUACGGCUCUGUCAGUCGUGGUGUCACGAGUUUGGGUCCUCGCCUAAUACACAAUAUGCGUCUGUGUUUCAACUUUAACAUUCAACAUUACUUAAACAUUUUAAAGGAGAGAGUAAGAGGAAAAAAGAAAAACUUUAAACAUAGGAUAUGCAUUUUGUGCCUGGGCACUGCAGUGGCACCUGUCCCUUGUUGUGUAUGCCUGUCCCCGUGUGAACCUGGGUCAUGCUUUCCAGGCCAUGGUUUUCAGGACCCCUACCUUCUCCAUCUCUAACCCCAGAUUCAGCAUUCAUGAAGGUGGCCGGGCCCCCGACCCUCCCAUCUUUACCUUUUAGUGGUUUUUGUUGGCGGUGGGGCCUAAUCGAGAGUCCGGGUGAGCUCUCCGCAUGUGUGGGCUGACUAUCUUUUCCUUCUGAGCCUCUCCUGACCCGUGGACCUGUCCCGGGUUCGUCUGACCUCUGACUGUGUGUGUCCCAUGACUAGGUCUGAUGCCCGAGCGAGCCGGGCCCCCGACCCCCCGCCUGCUCCCGAUGGGUCAUCACAGGCACGCCAGGGGGGUGCGGUUGCCCAGCCCGGUCCGGGAUCCCCUCCCUCCGGUCCGUGUCUAUCUGGGUGGGCUAUGUUACUCUCCCAUCCCUGCUACUCCCCCCUUAGUGUUCUCGUGUCCCCCGACCCCAUGGUAGUUCUCUGUGCUACGCUUGUCAUGGGCUAGCCUACCGGCCACCUGGCCACCAACCCUUGGUAUUUACAUCGACAUUUAGUACUUGCGUGCAUGAUAUUUAGGGUCUAGUUAAGUUCAAGUGUCCUCUCCUCCUGCCCAGCGUAUUUCAGCGUGGCGGAGUAGCCCGUCUCGAGUCCGUGAUGUGCUCGUGAGUCCUGUGCCGGGUGUUCAGUGUAGGCUGGGAGAUUCUGUCUCCGUUAUUGUAGUGUUCUCCGUUGGAUGUUGUCUCGUGUGUCUCAAUCCAGUGUCGUGUGUGGUGGUCGGAACCGGGGGCUCGCCGGUGAUGGCCUCUGCUCAGGGCAGGAUGGGGCGAGGUCGAGUUGUCUUGACUGGUCUGGGCUGAGGUCCUUUUCUGUAGGCCAGGUGGGGGAUUCCUCUAGUUGGUCGUCUCGGUAUCUGCUCUGGGGUUCGUGGUGCAGGUGCCAUGCAAAUGUCCCGUUGGUCUAGUGGCCUCGAGGGC